AAGAGCAGAGAGCCUCAAUCACCCAGGUGGUCACAGAUUGUAAGUGAUACCUGCAGUUUUACCAGAAGCUCUCAGAGAAGUCUGCAGGCAGGAGGAGGCAUGUAAAAUCAGUCUGCAGUGCUCACAAGGCUGGCGACUCAUCUGCAGCAGGGACGUCACGGGGAUCUGAAGGCAAAUCACCCUGGGCUCUGCCAAGGGCUGUCCUGCUGUCUCUUAGCUUAGUGAGGAAGUAAAACACUGCAAACAGCAGGAGACUCACAGAGAGAGCAGCAACUGAAAGGACAAAACCUCAGGGUCACUCAGGUGAUGGGAAGUGACUGUGCUCUGCUACCUUCACCUCUCUGCAGGCUUGGCAGAGAAAAACUGCCCUUCAAUUGGAAUGGUUUCAAGGAUUACAAAGAAGGAAACAUUCAAAACACCCCAGCUGAUCAUGAAAGAAGCCACAGAGAGGCUCAAGCAUUUCCUGCACCCUCUGCCUCUAAAACUACCCCUGUUUAUGCCUAGUGCAAAGAUUUUUCUGCUAAGACCAGAGUCUGACCCCACCAUCCCAUUUGUGCAGCUCAUCCCAUUUCAGCCUAGACUGUCAAUGACACAUUUCAGGAAAGAACUUCCUCCAGAAAUGAGUGACAAAAGUGGAUCACAGCAGAAAAUGUAAUCUUCAAACAAGCUGAGAAUUUUUCCUCCUCUGGAAGGAGCAAAGGAGGGAGUCAUAGUAAAGGUAUAAAACAAGUUACUUUUGUAACCCCAUGUCCUAAAAAAAUAAAGCAUAAGGAGGAAUAAAAUGUAA